rnacentral:rRNA from 2 species
GACGAACGCUGGCGGCGUGCCUAACACAUGCAAGUCGAGCGGAGUCAGUAAGAGGAAGUUUUCGGAUGGAAUCUUAUUGAUUUAGCGGCGGACGGGUGAGUAACGCGUGAGCGACCAACCUUGCACAGGGGGAUAACGGACCGAAAGGUUCACUAAUACCGCAUGAGACCACGGUGUUGCAUGACACAGGGGUCAAAGGAGCAAUCCGGUGCAAGACGGGCUCGCGUCCGAUUAGGUAGUUGGAGGGGUAACGGCCCACCAAGCCUAUGAUCGGUAGCCGACCUGAGAGGGUGAUCGGCCACAUUGGAACUGAGAUACGGUCCAAACUCCUACGGGAGGCAGCAGUGGGGAAUAUUGGGCAAUGGGGGAAACCCUGACCCAGCAACGCCGCGUGAAGGAAGAAGGUUUUCGGAUUGUAAACUUCUGUCCUUGGUGAAGAGAAGAAGACGGUAGCCAAGGAGGAAGCCCCGGCUAACUACGUG